UGAGGAAUAUUGGGCAAUGCCCGCAAGGGUGACCCAGCAACGCCGCGUGGAGGAUGAAUGUCGUAAGAUUGUAAACUCCUGUUAGAGGGGCAGAAUAGUACCGGUUGGACCGGUAUAUGACUGUACCCUCAGAGAAAGCCCCGGCUAACUACGUGCCAGCAGCCGCGGUAAUACGUAGGGGGCAAGCGUUGUCCGGAUUUACUGGGUGUAAAGGGCGCGCAGGCGGGAUAAAAAGUCAGUGGUGGGAUCCUACAGCUUAACUGUAGAACUGCCUUUGAUACUUUUAUUCUUGAGUUCGGGAGGGAGAGACGGAAUUCCAGGUGUAGUGGUGAAAUACGUAGAUAUCUGGAAGAACACCAGUUGCGAAGGCGGUCUCUUGGUCCGACACUGACGCUGAGGCGCGAAAGCGUGGGGAGCAAACA
rnacentral:rRNA from 1 species